AUGAUUGAUGAGAUAAUUGGUUUAGCUGCUUUCGGAAGAGGCGACGGGAAUCAUAAAAACCACGAUGGCUAUGGAGAUUCAACAUAUAGAAAGAUGGAAGAGGUUCCCACUCUCUCUCUCUCUCUCUCUCUCUCUCUCUCCCUUCCACUUUCUUUUGAUUUAAUCCCCAGUCUUAUUUAUCUAUGCCUACAUGGUGUGCGGCUGCAAGGAAAUAUUACUCUCUGCAAUAUUAGUGCUCCAUUGCCUACUCAACAGUGUCUUUUUUUUCUUCUGAAAUUUAGCUGCAGUCUUGGAUCACUUACCUGUACAGUACGUUACAUCUCACGGUUAUCUGACUUGCUUAUGCAAUAUAUCUCAUCAUUCAUAUAUAUGUUUAAUUUGUGGAGAAAUAUAUUUGUUGCUAUGUUGUUUGAGAUUUACAUCCUCUGUUCCAUGAGUUAA
rnacentral:rRNA from 1 species